CCUACGGGAGGCAGCAGUGAGGAAUAUUGGUCAAUGGCCGUAAGGCUGAACCAGCCAAGUCGCGUGAAGGAAGAAGGAUCCAUGGUUUGUAAACUUCUUUUAUAGGGGAAUAAAGGUAUCCACGUGUGGAUAUUUGCAUGUACCCUAUGAAUAAGCAUCGGCUAACUCCGUGCCAGCAGCCGCGGUAAUACGGAGGAUGCGAGCGUUAUCCGGAUUUAUUGGGUUUAAAGGGUGCGUAGGUUGUCUUUUAAGUCAGCGGUGAAAGUUUGUGGCUCAACCAUAAAAUUGCCGUUGAAACUGGAAGACGUGAGUGUGUUUGAGGUAGGCGGAAUGCGUGGUGUAGCGGUGAAAUGCAUAGAUAUCACGCAGAACUCCGAUUGCGAAGGCAGCUUACUAGGCCAUAACUGACACUGAAGCACGAAAGCGUGGGGAUCAAACAGGAUUAGAUACCCUAGUAGUC
rnacentral:rRNA from 1 species